CGGCAACAGCUCAAAUUUGAAAUCUGGCUCUCUCAGGGUCCGAGUUGUAAUUUGCAGAGGAUGCUUCGGCUUAGGCGCCAUCCAAAGUUCCUUGGAACAGGAUGUCAUAGAGGGUGAGAGCCCCGUGUCCGGACGGAUGCCUCUGCCAUGUGAAGCUCCUUCGAC
rnacentral:rRNA from 1 species